UACAGAGGUCCCGAGCGUUGUUCGGAUUCACUGGGCAUAAAGGGUGCGUAGGUGGCUGGGAAAGUUUGAUGUGAAAGCUCAGGGCUUAACCCUGAAAUGGCAUUGAAUACUACUUAGCUGGAGGUUUGGAGGGGGGACUGGAAUUCUUGGUGUAGCAGUGAAAUGCGUAGAUAUCAAGAGGAACACCAGUGGCGAAGGCGAGUCCCUGGACAACACCUGACACUGAGGCACGAAAGCUAGGGGAGCAAACAGG
rnacentral:rRNA from 1 species